UACGUAGGUGGCAAGCGUUGUCCGGAUUUACUGGGCGUAAAGAGCGCGCAGGCGGUCGUUCAAGUCGCGUGUGAAAGCCCCCGGCUCAACUGGGGAGGGUCACGCGAUACUGAUCGACUCGAAGGCAGGAGAGGGUAGUGGAAUUCCCGGUGUAGUGGUGAAAUGCGCAGAUAUCAGGAGGAACACCGGUGGCGAAGGCGGGUCUCUGGGACGUCCCUGACACUGAGGCGCGAAAGCGUGGGGAGCAAACAGG
rnacentral:rRNA from 1 species